AGUGAACGCUGGCGGUAGGCCUAACACAUGCAAGUCGAACGGCAGCACAGUAAGAGCUUGCUCUUACGGGUGGCGAGUGGCGGACGGGUGAGGAAUACAUCGGAAUCUACUUUUUCGUGGGGGAUAACGUAGGGAAACUUACGCUAAUACCGCAUACGACCUACGGGUGAAAGCAGGGGAUCUUCGGACCUUGCGCGAUUGAAUGAGCCGAUGUCGGAUUAGCCAGUUGGCGGGGUAAAGGCCCACCAAGGCGACGAUCCGUAGCUGGUCUGAGAGGAUGAUCAGCCACACUGGAACUGAGACACGGUCCAGACUCCUACGGGAGGCAGCAGUGGGGAAUAUUGGACAAUGGGCGCAAGCCUGAUCCAGCCAUACCGCGUGGGUGAAGAAGGCCUUCGGGUUGUAAAGCCCUCUUGUUGGGAAAGAAAAGCAGCAGGUUAAUACCCCGCUGUUCUGACGGUACCCAAAGAAUAAGCACCGGCUAACUUCGUG
rnacentral:rRNA from 1 species